UGCACCCUGCGGGGUCCUUACGGCGCGGGAGAAAUGCGACCGAACCUGUAUUCUCAAGGUUGGGGUUCAGCCGCCCCCCCCCGCGAGCUGGGGUUCCAGGGGGAAACACCCCCACCCCACAGACAAAAAGGUGGGGGUGGAGGAAGAGAAAGUUUUCCAGUUUCGCGUUGAAGGUCAUGUCAGAAAGCGAAGUGCCCUGUACUUGGCCAAAUAAAGCCUAGCUGGGCCUUAAGACACGGGUUCCCUCUCCCCACGUUCCCUGCAAAGGUCUGCACGCGUGUCCUCCGUCAUCUCCACUCGUUGGAACCGUAGAGUGAAGGCUUUGUCCAGAAAGACGUAUGUGAAACUGAUGAAAAGUGGCAUCUGGGAAAUGAUCCCCAGGUUUGCGUUAAUACCUAAUGGGAAGCCACAAAUGCAGACUCGCCCAAAGAUUGGGAGUAUGCAGAUGAAGCUCUCCUAGCAACGUGAAAUCCCCCACACUGCAGCCCUUAUGUGCUAGUUUUGACUUCUACCCAGACAUUAUUAAUGAGUGGCUGUUUGCUGGAGCACCACAGUGUGGAAGCUGUGGUAGGUGAUCUCAAAGACAGUCCCCUGCUGAUGAUCCCACCCCCCACCCCCCAUUCACACCCUUGUUUAAUCCCCUCUUCUUGGCUGAAGACUGGACUAACUGACUCCAUUCCAACAAAUAAUAUAUGACAGAAAUCAUGUGAUGUCUCUGCUGAGAUUUGAUUAUAAAAAAAAAAAAAAGUGGCUUCCAUCUUGAGUGCUCUCUUUUCUCUCUCACUCUCUCCUGGAUCACUCACUGUGUGGAAGCCAGCUGCCUUGUCGUACGGCAGCCCUGUGGAGAGGGACUGAGGUCAGCCAACAACCACUGAGAGUUAGCUGGGGAUACUCCCCUCCCCCUAUGCUAAUCGAGCCUUCAGGUGAGACCUUCAACAGCAGCCAACAGCUGCCUCAGGAAAACCCUUGAGGCAAAAGCAUCCAACUAAGCUGCCUAGACUCCUGAUCCAUAGGAACUGCAAAGUAAUAAAUGUUUGUUGCUUUAAACUGCUGUGUUUUAUAGUAAUUUGUUGCAGAGCUGUAGGUAACUAAUGCUCAAGCCAAAAGAGAAGUCAAUGUGGGCCCAAUGACAACCCCACACAGCCUCCUGGUCCCUUAC